GAUGAACGCUGGCGGCGUGCCUAAUACAUGCAAGUCGAGCGAAUGGAUUAAGAGCUUGCUCUUAUGAAGUUAGCGGCGGACGGGUGAGUAACACGUGGGUAACCUGCCCAUAAGACUGGGAUAACUCCGGGAAACCGGGGCUAAUACCGGAUAACAUUUUGAACCGCAUGGUUCGAAAUUGAAAGGCGGCUUCGGCUGUCACUUAUGGAUGGACCCGCGUCGCAUUAGCUAGUUGGUGAGGUAACGGUUCACCCAGGCAACGAUGCGUAGCCGACCUGAGAGGGGGAUCGGCCACACUGGGACUGAGACACGGCCCAGACUCCUACGGGAGGCAGCAGUAGGGAAUCUUCCGCAAUGGACGAGAGUCUGACGGAGCAACGCCGCGUGAGUGAUGAAGGCUUUCGGGUCGUAAAACUCUGUUGUUAGGGAAGAACAAGUGCUAGUUGAAUAAGCUGGCACCUUGACGGUACCUAACCAGAAAGCCACGGCUAACUACGUGCCAGCCGCCGCGGUAA
rnacentral:rRNA from 1 species